GGAUGCUCUGCCUGCCAGCCAGCCAGCCAGCCGAUGCAGCCUUACUGCCUUGCUACAGGAUUGCUAUCAACUCAUCAGCUUGGUGAAUGAGAUGUGAAUUGAAUUUUGACACCGAUGGCACUACAAGUAGAAGGAUCCAUGUGAUUUUGAUACCAGGAUAAGAAUUCACUGCAGCAACUGGCUCAGUUGCUCCCCAAGAUCGUAGCUGUGAGGAACACACACAGUCAACUUCAACAGCUGGGGAAGAGCAGUCUGUUAAAGAACAUGCAGCCUGGAGGCCCACCCACAUCCAUCUACAUGGUAUGGUGCAGCAGCUGGUGUUGUGAAUCAGGCCGUUGCCAAUCAGAGAACGGCUACUUCACAACACCAGGGUUGUACCCUACCACAGUCGUCAGCCUGGAAAGCAACGUACACAAAACGAAGAUUCCUGACGCUUACAUUCAACGUUGUCUUCUAUCCACUGCAGGACUAAGGACAGCAACUAGAUUUCCCCUGGCCAAAAGUUUAUUAGUCUUGUUAAUAUCCCAUGCAAAUUUAGAUUUUCCUGCUUUGGUCACAGCAGUCUAUUAAUUCAGUCCUCUUGUCUGUUGCAUCUUACAUUCAACGUUGUCUUCUAUCCUCAAUUCCAACCUAAGGCCCCUAAAGUUAUCUUGUAGAGCAUUUACCCAGCAGACAUUUAACAUUUCUGUAAGGUAUACUGCAGCUAGAUUAAUUACUGUAAUGUUAAGGAGGAGGUAGCUCUUAUCAAGUGAAUGAAAAUAUUAGCGCAUAGAGCCCCACUACAUUCCUGGUGUGGUGUGGUUUAUGGUUUGUUGUCCUGGUUUAUGUACUAUUUAUUAUAGGCACGAUUCCAUCUAAUUACCCAAUCAGUUGUUUUCUGUAACUUACUGUAUUUGUCAUAAAAGAAAACAGAGUUUGUGAGUGAUAAGAAAAUCUCAGUUAUGUUGUGUGCAAGUAGAAGCACCUUCUAAUAACUGAGCACGGUUGUCUAGAACUAGUACCACAGGGGCUAGCUGCUAUUUCUCAAAGGAGAAAAACUGAAUUCACAUUGCUCAGGAAACCACCAACAAAUCUGCUACACUUCCUACAUGAAUGCAGGACACACAAAAUAUCUACUGUACCCUCUUAGUUACCCUCUUCUUGGAGAGAAAUAUAUAGGAGGUCAUAGGGCAAAACCCUAACUAAGGAACAUAGGUUCAUGUUAAGAAGGAACAUGUAUUGGGGAAAAAAUCUAAGAUGCUGUUACUUGAGGCAGUGAAAUGGUUUCCACUGGAAGCUGUGAAGCUGGGGAGUACUAAUGGAUGUCA